rnacentral:rRNA from 1 species
UAGCUAGUUGGUGGGGUAAGGGCCUACCAAGGCGACGAUCGGUAGCUGGUCUGAGAGGAUGGCCAGCCACACUGGAACUGAGACACGGUCCAGACUCCUACGGGAGGCAGCAGUGGGGAAUAUUGGACAAUGGGGGCAACCCUGAUCCAGCAAUGCCGCGUGUGUGAAGAAGGCCUGAGGGUUGUAAAGCACUUUCAGUGGGGAGGAGGGUUGAUUGGUUAAGAGCUGGUUAAUUGGACGUUACCCACAGAAGAAGCACCGGCUAACUCCGUGCCAGCAGCCGCGGUAAUACGGAGGGUGCGAGCGUUAAUCGGAAUUACUGGGCGUAAAGGGUGCGUAGGUGGUUUAUUAAGUUAUGUGUAAAAUCCCUGGGCUCAACCUGGGCAGGUCAUAUAAUACUGGUAGACUCGAGUAUGGGAGAGGGUAGUGGAAUUUCCGGUAUAGCGGUGAAAUGCGUAGAGAUCGGAAGGAACACCAGUGGCGAAGGCGGCUACCUGGCCUAAUACUGACACUGAGGCACGAAAGCGUGGGGAGCAAACAGGAUUAGAUACCCUGGUAGUCCACGCUGUAAACGAUGUCAACUAGCUGUUGGUUAUAUGAAUAUAAUUAGUGGCGC